ACUCCUUGAGGCGGCAGCACCUCAGGACAGGAAAAGCUGCCAGAGUGGGUGGUGAGCCAGGAAUCACGAGAGCUGUGACUUCCAGAAUCCAGGUAUGUGAGCGUCCACUGAUGUUCUUGCUGGAUACCCCUGGGGUGCUGGCUCCUCGGAUUCAAAGUGUGGAGACAGGCCUGAAGCUGGCCCUGUGUGGUAAGCCUCUGCCCCAUUGCUGACCUUGACUGUGACCAAGGCAGGAGGACUUGUUACUCCCUCCACCCUUCCUGAUACCAGAUGCUUUUCACAGUUUUGAGAGGGAGACUAGCUCACGGCAGGCAUGUGCUGGCUACCAUUCUGCCCUGUAGUAGGGUAGACAAAGAGGUCAUGCUUGGCAACCAAGCCAAGCCAUAUAGGAAGAAGGUCAACAACUGUGAGCCAACCUGCAGGAGGGCUCCUUUGCUUGAGGCCUCUGCCUUCAAGUGGGAGCCAUUCAGGCUUGGUGGGGCAUAGAUGGCCACUGUACCAUAGGCUUGCAUUAGCUGCUUGUCUUGCAGGAACUGUGUUGGACCACCUUGUUGGGGAAGAGACCAUGGCUGAUUAUCUCCUUUACACCCUCAACAGGCAUGGGCUAUUUGGGUAUGUGCAGCACUAUGCCCUGGCCAGUGCCUCUGACCACAUAGAGUGGGUGCUGAAGAACGUGGCCAUCAAGCUGGGGAAGACACGGAAAGUGAAGGUUCUCACAGGCACAG
rnacentral:lncRNA from 1 species